GUUAUAUGACCAAGCGACUAAGCGCACACGGUGGAUGCCUUGGCGGCAGAAGGCGAUGAAGGACGUGGAAGUCUGCGAUAAGCCUCGGGGAGCUGGCAAACAAGCUUUGAUCCGGGGAUGUCCGAAUGGGGAAACCCGGCCACUUCGGUGGUCAUCCCUACCUGAAUAUAUAGGGUAGGGAGGCGAACCCGGGGAACUGAAAUAUCUAAGUACCCGGAGGAAAGGAAAUCAACUGAGACUCCCUCAGUAGCGACGAGCGAACGGGGACCAGCCCUUAAGCCUGCAGAGUUCUAGUGGAACAAUCUGGAAAGGUUGGCCAUAGACGGUGAUAGCCCGGUACACGAAAGGGCUUUGCAGGUGAAAUCGAGUAGGGCGGGGCACGUGAAACCCUGUCUGAACAUGGGUGGACCAUCAUCCAAGGCUAAGUACUCCCUGCCGACCGAUAGUGAACCAGUACCGUGAGGGAAAGGCGAAAAGAACCCCGGAGAGGGGAGUGAAAUAGAACCUGAAACCGUGUGCGUACAAGCAGUGGGAGCCUGUCUUCGGACGGGUGACUGCGUACCUUUUGUAUAAUGGGUCAGCGACUUACUUUCAGUAGCAAGCUUAACCGUUUAGGGGAGGCGAAGGGAAACCGAGUCUUAACAGGGCGUACAGUUGCUGGGAGUAGACCCGAAACCGGGUGAUCUAGCCAUGGGCAGGCUGAAGGUGCGGUAACACGCACUGGAGGGCCGAACCCACCUAUGUUGAAAAAUUGGGGGAUGACCUGUGGCUAGGAGUGAAAGGCUAAUCAAACCCGGAGAUAGCUGGUUCUCCUCGAAAGCUAUUUAGGUAGCGCCUCGUGUAUUGCCCCUGGGGGUAGAGCACUGUUAUGGCUAGGGGGUCACACCGACUUACCAAACCAUGGCAAACUCCGAAUACCUGGGAGUAUGAGCACGGGAGACACACGGCGGGUGCUAACGUCCGUCGUGGAAAGGGAAACAACCCAGACC
rnacentral:rRNA from 1 species